CUACGGGCGGCUCCAGUGGGGAAUAUUACACAAUGGGCGCAAGCCUGAUGCAGCCAUGCCGCGUGUAUGAAGAAGGCCUUCGGGUUGUAAAGUACUUUCAGCGGGGAGGAAGGGAGUAAAGUUAAUACCUUUGCUCAUUGACGUUACCCGCAGAAGAAGCACCGGCUAACUCCGUGCCAGCAGCCGCGGUAAGACGGAGGGUGCAAGAGUUAAUCGGAAUUACUGGGCGUAAAGCGCACGCAGGCGGUUUGUUAAGUCAGAUGUGAAAGCCCCGGGCUCAACCUGGGAACUGCAUCUGAUACGUGCAAGCUUGAGUCUCGUAGAGGGGGGUAGAAUUCCAGGUGUAGCGGUGAAAUGCGUAGAGAUCUGGAGGAAUACCGGUGGCGAAGGCGGCCCCCUGGACGAAGACUGACGCUCAGGUGCGAAAGCGUGGGGAGCAAACAGGAUUAGAUACCCUUGUAGUC
rnacentral:rRNA from 1 species